rfam:Dipodomys ordii contig_65024, whole genome shotgun sequence.
UGGCUCAGUGGUAGAGUGCUUGCCUUGAAUGCAUGAGGCCCUGGGUUCGAUUCCUCAG